CGUAAGCCCCCAACUUCACAAUGACUCUUCCUCUCUCCGAUUUUUGAUUUAUCAAGAAUUCAUGUUUCUCACUUCACUAGACUGAGUCUUUUUUCUUCUUUUUUUUUGGUUAUUUUCAACCGUUAGAUCUUGAGGGGGUAUUGUCUUGUGGCCAUCGCCAGCAGACCCUUCGCUUAUUCAGGCUUUCAAGGCCAUUGCCACCAUGUCUGACAGCUCUCUCUCUCUCUCUCUCUCUCUCUCUCUCUCUCUGUUUCUUGUAUAAUGGUGAUUUCGUGUUUGGCUGACUAGAAAGUGAGGGAAAAUGAGCGUGUGGAAUAAUAUCGUCUCUCUGUCUUCCUCCCUGUCUCUGAUAACGGUUAAGUUUUGUUUGGAUGAGGAGAAAGUUGUUUUUUUUUUUUAGUAAGUAAUUGCCCCAACUGGCGGGGCGAGGGGAGAUUCGAACUGUGUUUCUAUUGAUUCUAGCAAUCAACUUUUCUUUUUCUUUUUUGAAAAAAAGAAAAAAGAUGCAGCUUGGAAGGAUUUGACUGUGUGUAUUUAGUUGCUGAGAAGAAUAAAUUUUCCCUUUUGUUGGUGGGAAAAUGGAGGUGAUGCAAAUUUUUAAAUGCAAAGCAAAUGGAGGUGUUGAGACACUCUGGAGGAAGGAGAAAGAUGGAAAGACCAUGAAGGAAGCUCAUAAGAAACUGAAGGGUCCUUGUGACUUAGUGUAUUCUUGCAAUCUUUGUUGAUCGGUUUCGUCUUUCUCUGCUAUCAUCCAUAUUGAUAGCGCUUUUCUUCUCCUUUUAGAGCCUUUACUUGCAUGAGAUUAAGAGAGCUCCUUGUCAUUGAUACUUUUUCUUGGAUAACAAGAUUAGGAGAUUUGUUGAAUAGCCUCCUCAUUGUGUGCACAACAGAGCGAAGUGAUUAUCAUCAUGUUUCCACUUUAAACUCAUGCCUCAUGGCCCUUACAACAGGCUUCUAAAAGGCCGUCACUGAAUUGGGAUUUGAUGUACAUAGUUUUUGUCCUCUUCUCAGAAGUUAAGGUAAUCCAUUUCAUUAUUAUUGCUAUUGCCUUUCUUUUUGCUUUUGUCCAUUGUCGUUGUUCUUAGCUUCUCGUAUUCAGUUUUCUGAAAGAAUUGACAACAAAAUUUGUGGUUCGUUUUCAUAUUGUUCAAACGUGUACUUUGGAAUACAUUCUUCAGCAGUGUAGGACUGGCUUGGGUUAUGCCUAGAAGGGUGGUAGACCUCUUUGCUUGUUGGAGAGCGCCUGGGGGUAGGUCCUAAUUUGACACAGUCUGAAAGAUUAUUCCGCCUUGCCUUAUGUGGUGUAUAUGGAGGGAAAAAAGAAACAAUUGUAGCUUUAAGGAACAUGAGAGGACCUUAGUGGCAUUAAAGACUUCAUUCUUUUAAACUCUUUCUUUGGGCCACUGCCUCAGAGUCUAGGUUUUUGAAUUUUCUUGUAUUCUUAGAUCUCUUCUCCACUUCUAGCUAUACUUCUCUCUUGUAUAUUGAGAGCAAGCCAUUUCACACGGAAGACUAUGGAUGGCCCCUCAAGCAAGGACUGGGGGGUAGAAGAGCUGCUUCCUUCAACAUUACUCCUAGCAGCACCGGAGCUGCGUAGGUAGUUAAUAACUUCUUAUUUGCAAUGUUGCUUGCUGUAAAUGUUGUUGUGCAUAAAUAUCUACUGCAAUUGGUAUUCAUUUUCAGAAGAGUAUACCAUAUUUAGCAGCCUGUCUAAUUGAUGAGUAUUAUUUUGUGGUCGAAUAGGCUGUUAGAAAAGUUAUUCUGAAACUUAAUGGCCUUUCGAAGAAGGCAACCUAGCAGGAGACCAAAAAUGCUAUCGAGUUUUGGAGUAUCAAUCUUGUACCCUUGGACUUUGCAAGUGUUAUUUUCUGUUGUUUAUUGAAUGAGUAUAUAGGGAAUGCUUUCUUAUCAUACUUCAUGAUGCAUAUAUAUAUAUUUCAAUCUGUCAAUGCUCAGGGAGGAGUCCGAGGGCAAGCUUGCAUUUUGGGUUACACUGAAGAUGAUGUGGUGUCUACUGAUUUCAUUGGUGAUAGCAGGUAGAUUAUUGUUUUUAAUGUAAUAUCCUAUAGUUGUUUGGCUUAGCUUAUGUUUUGGAGAAUCUAAAUAUCUAUAAUUUUAUCUUUUCUUGAAAAUGAAGCCCUAAUUCUACUUGUAACCAUGUUACACUCCUGGUUUGAAGAGCCAGUAAAUGCGAUUCUAUGACAGUACCUAUUGUUUUCUGAGUGAAUUCGAAAGUUUA